rnacentral:sRNA from 1 species
ACUGUAAAUCUGCCGUCACAGACUUCGAAGGUUCGAGUUGAGCGCAGCGAAACAACAAUGCGGCGCUUGCGACGCGUUGGCCCGCAGGGCGAGGAACGCAGUGACGAGUCAUCCUUCCCCCA